UUCUCCAGUUGACUCUAUUUC
rnacentral:piRNA from 1 species